UACGUAGGGUGCGAGCGUUGUCCGGAAUUAUUGGGCGUAAAGAGCUCGUAGGCGGUUUGUCGCGUCGGCUGUGAAAACUCGGGGCUCAACCCCGAGCCUGCAGUCGAUACGGGCAAACUUGAGUGUGGUAGGGGAGACUGGAAUUCCUGGUGUAGCGGUGAAAUGCGCAGAUAUCAGGAGGAACACCGGCGGCGAAGGCGGGUCUCUGGGCCGAUACUGACGCUGAGGAGCGAAAGCGUGGGGAGCGAACAGG
rnacentral:rRNA from 1 species